CAUGGAUUAAGCCAUGCAAGUGUUAGUUCAGGCAACGAAACUGCGAAUAGCUCAUUAAUACACUGAGAAUCUAUUUGAUGGCGAACACACGUGUUCUACUAUGGAUAGCAGGAGUAAAUCUCGUGCUAAUACAUGCAAGUGUUUCUCCGGAAAUGAAUUACGGAGGAAAAGUUGACCCUAUGGGCACAUCAUUCGACUCAGUGACCUAUCAGCUUGUACUUAGGGUCUGUACCUAGGUAGGCUAUCACGGGUAACGGGCGGUUACCGUCGGACUGCCGGAGAAGGCGCCUGAGAGAUAGCGACUAUGUCCACGGGCAGCAGCAGGCGCGAAACUUACCCACUCGAGACGAUCGGAGGUGGUAAUGACCAGUUCCAUUUCCAGCCACAAGGCCGGAAUGGGUAGGAUGCCGCUUUUCCAGCGGUGUGAAAUCUAGCAGAGGGCCAGUCUGGUGCCAGCAGCUGCGGUAAUUCCAGCUCUGCAAGUUUGCUCCCAUAUUGUUGCAGUUAAAACGCCCGUAGUCUGAAUUUGCUCGUAAGAGUAGGAAUCCAUUAGUGGAGUUCACUGUGAACAAAUCAGGACGCUUAGUGUAUUUCUUUGAAUGAAUGACUCAGCGCAGUAUGAAAUAUUUACCGUAAGGUAAGCUCAAAGAGAGCCAUCGGGGGUAAGAUCUAUCUCAUGACGAGUGGUGGAAUACGGUGACUCAUGAGAGAGACACGGAGGGCGAAGGCGUCUACCUAGAGGGUUUCUGUCGAUCAAGGGCGAGAGUAGGAGUAUCCAACCGGAUCAGAGACCCGGGUAGUUCCUACUAUAAACGAUGCCGACAGGGGCUUGUCUUUUUUUAAAGGCAGGACCUUAGGAGAAAUCAUAGUUCUCGGGCUCUGGGGGAACUACGACCACAAGGCUGAAACUUGAAGGAAUUGACGGAAGGGCACACCAGGGGUGGAGCCUGUGGCUUAAUUUGAAUCAACACGGGAAAACUUACCAGAACCAGAUGUUUUUUAUGACCGACAGGCUAGGGGUCUUUCGGGAUAUGAUUUUUGGUGGUGCAUGGCCGUUGGUGGUGCGUGGGUUGACCUGUCUAGCGUUGAUUCAGCUAACGAGCGAGAUUAUCGCCAAUUACUUAGACUAGCUUGGUUUUCAAGUUUAGCCUUCUAAUUGGGACUCCCUGCGAUUAAGCAGGAGGAAGAGGGUAGCAAUAACAGGUCCGUGAUGUCCUUUAGAUGCUCUGGGCUGCACGCGUGCUACAAUGUUAGUCUCAAAGGGUUUUGCUCACCUGAUAGGGUUUUAGCUACUCCCGGAAUGUCUAACGUAGUUGGGAUUGACGAUUGUAAUCAUCGUCAUGAACCAGGAAUCCCUUGUAAAUGUGUGUCAACAGCGCACGUUGAAUACGUCCCUGCCCUUUGUACACACCGCCCGUCGCUCCUACCGAUUGGAUGACUCGGUGAAAUUACUGGACUCUACGGAGGAAAGUAAUUAAAUCACGUUAUCUAGAGGAAGGAGAAUCUAAAAGGGGGAAAGGGGAAAGGCCCUUUCCG
rnacentral:rRNA from 1 species